rnacentral:rRNA from 1 species
CCUACGGGUGGCAGCAGUGGGGGAUAUUGCACAAUGGGCGGAACCCUGAUGCAGCGACGCCGCGUGAGCGAUGGAGUACUUCGGUAUGUAAAGCUCUGUCAGCAGGGAAGAAAAUGACGGUACCUGACCAAGAAGCCCCUGCUAAAUACGGGCAAGCAGCCGCGGUCAUACGGAGGGCGCACGCGUUCUCCGGUUUUACUGGGUGUAGCGGGAGCGUAGGCGGCAGGGGAAGCCUGAGGUGAAAGCCCGGGGCCAAACCCCGGGACUGCAUUGGGAACUGGCCUGCUGGAGUGCCGGAGGGGCAGGCGGAAUUCCUGGUGUAGCGGUGAAAUGCGUAGAUAUUAGGAGGAACACCAGUGGCGAAGGCGGCCUGCUGGACGGUGACUGACGCUGAGGCUCGAAAGCGUGGGGAGCAAACAGGAUUAGAUACCCCGGUAGUC